ACGAGUGUCCAAUCAAACCCUUUCAUAAAGACCAGUCAAAUCCGUCAGAUGCACUGACCAUCUCCGAUCUCUAGAGACCCGUGCGGCCAGUCCUUCUUCCCAACAAAUUCCCUAUAAAUACCCAACGUAUCUACCAAGAGGGGGGAUGACCAAUUUUCUGGUAAAACAUACUACUCUUCUCUAUUACUACAUUACCUCUUCACUACCGAACUAACUUAAGUUUCGGAGUUAUACCGGGGGACCCAGCCCCUCUUUCAACCUCAGGAGGUGAUCUCGUCCCAGUGAACUAUCCAAAAUAGAGCCCCUCCUCAAAUUGGAAGGUUCAUUCCAGCGGGACUGGAAUCACCUCUUCAUUCUACUUUUCACCUGUUUUUGCAUUUUGAAACCAUUUUCUUUCAAUGCUUCUCCGAUGUUCCCCUGCACUUAUGAAGGGAUACCGUUAACGGCGGCACGAUCUUUCAUCUCUAAUCCCGGUGUAAUGUAUCGCCAUGCUGUUGAAUAUUUUGAUUUAAGAUCUUUUCUUUUUAAGAGGUGGAAUAGAAUAAUUCGAUUGAAACGCAAUGAUCAUACGUCUGUGAUAUAUUGUAUGUUUCAUAAUAGGUCCCAUGUACUGCCCUUUCUAUCCAAAGAAAGAAUUCGACCCAAUGCGUUGUUUCUGUCCAAUCUUUUCAAUUACCAUCAGAACUCAGAAGUGGAAAGAGAGAGAGAAGGAUCAAUAAAGGAGAACAGAAGAGGAGGUUUCAUGGAACCAUACCAAAGUGAAUAAAAUAGUGGUGCAUUCGUUCCAGGUCACUUUAUCUCUUCACACGUUCUGCGCAAAGCGAACGUUCGACCAAAGAUGCCGAGCGAUAGUAGUAGUAUCAAUACUCAAAGAGAUAGACAACGUGGAUGGCGGUGAUAAGUUAUUCUGAGUUCGAACUUUGAAGUAGAGCAAGAAGGGGUCUCCACAUUAUUCUGAGUUUUCACCACUUUACCACCAUUCCGUGUUGGGGGAUUCGCAGAUGAAAGCAACAGCCGUCAAAAGAGAUUCAGUAGCGACCGAAAUUCGACGAAAUUUCACAGCAAUCUCCUGUUAAUUGAUUGUAGCCAUCAGAGGAUUCCUCCCAGUUGUUGUUCCAAGUGUGAAUUGCAAAUUGCCAGCAUCCAGGAUCCAAAUUGCGGUCAUCGAUGUGGUCUCUCAGAAGAUUCGAUUUCUGAUCCUGAGGAUCGUAGCAUUACGCAAGCAGCAGCAGCCAAGUGGACCCAGUCCUCUUCAGAUCUGACGUUUUUUUUUUUUUUGGAUAGAAAGAUCAGAGACAGACCCUAUCCAUCCAUUCCGUUCCUCGAACCAGCUUGUCUCCUUUCCUUCCUUCUACAUCUGUCAAAAUAGGUGGCUCGAAGAGGGUUUGAACGGUCAUGCUGAGUAACACACUAUAAUUGAGUUAAUUUAUUUAUGAGUAAAAUUUAUAUAUAAUAAAUUUUGAAUUUUAAAUUUAAA